CUUCAUCGCACCUGAGGCAAAGCCCAUUCAAGUCAAUGGAAGUCUUUCUGUUGGCUUGAAUGGGCUUUACAUCAGGUGCUAUAAAG
rnacentral:pre_miRNA from 1 species